rnacentral:tRNA from 1 species
GGAGUUGUAGCUCAGCGGUAGAGUGCUCGCCUAGCACAUGUGAGGCCCUGGGUUCAAUCCUCAGCACCA